rnacentral:rRNA from 1 species
GCGUGUGUGAAGAAGGCCUUAGGGUUGUAAAGCACUUUCAGUAGGGACGAAAAGCCGCAGGCUAAUACCAGGCGGUCUUGACUUAACCUACAGAAGAAGCACCGGCUAACUCCGUGCCAGCAGCCGCGGUAAUACGGAGGGUGCAAGCGUUAAUCGGAAUUACUGGGCGUAAAGCGCGCGUAGGUGGUUUGGCAAGUCGGGUGUGAAAGCCCUGAGCUUAACUUGGGAAUUGCAUUCGAUACUGCCUGGCUAGAGUAUGGUAGAGGGAAGCGGAAUUCCGCAUGUAGCGGUGAAAUGCGU